rnacentral:rRNA from 1 species
UGCAGUCGAACGGUAGCAGGAAGUGCUUGCACUUUGCUGACGAGUGGCGGACGGGUGAGUAAUACUUAGGAACAUGCCUUUGUGUGGGGGAUAACCAUUGGAAACGAUGGCUAAUACCGCAUAAUGUCUUUGGACCAAAGAGGGCUUUCGGGCUCUCGCGCAAAGAGUGGCCUAAGUGAGAUUAGCUUGUUGGUGAGGUAAAGGCUCACCAAGGCGACGAUCUCUAGCUGUUCUGAGAGGAAGAUCAGCCACACUGGGACUGAGACACGGCCCAGACUCCUACGGGAGGCAGCAGUGGGGAAUAUUGCACAAUGGGGGCAACCCUGAUGCAGCCAUGCCGCGUGUGUGAAGAAGGCCUUCGGGUUGUAAAGCACUUUCAGUUGUGAGGAAAGGUUGGUGGUUAAUACCCAUCAGCUGUGACGUUAGCAACAGAAGAAGCACCGGCUAACUCCGUGCCAGCAGCCGCGGUAAUACGGAGGGUGCGAGCGUUAAUCGGAAUUACUGGGCGUAAAGCGCACGCAGGCGGUUAUAUAAGCUAGAUGUGAAAGCCCCGGGCUCAACCUGGGAAUAGCAUUUAGAACUGUAUGACUAGAGUCUUGGAGAGGGGAGUGGAAUUCCAGGUGUAGCG